UACGGUUAAGACAAAAAAUAGUAGCAUAAAAUAGCAAAAGGCUACUUUUUUUUGAAAAAACCGUAGUAAAUAAUGCAAAAACGCUACAAUUUUUUAAAAAAGCCGUAGCAAAAAACUUAAAAUUGCUACAGUUUUGAACCGUAGCAAAUAGUUUUUCUUAUUCGCUACGCCCACUAGUUCUACGGUUCAAAAUUGUAGCAAAUACUCCUAAAAAACCCGUAGCAAAUGUCAUUUUUUUCUACUAGUGUAUGAAUUUGUUUUUCUUAAAUUGUGAAAGUGUUAAGUGUUAGUUGUUAGUUGUGUCAUUGAUUGAAUAAUUAGUUGUGGCAUUGAUUGAUUAAAUAUUUUGCUUUCUACUUGGGGCUACUCCUCAAUAUGUCAUUCACUUUGUGAGGUUUUGUAGUAACAUUCUGCCAGUCACUUGGACAUGAUAGUGCUAGACAUGGGUUUUUGUGGUAAUGUCAAGUUGUUAGUGUUGUGUAUGUGAAUAAAGUUGCCGUUUUAAGAGUGAAUAAUUUAUAAGUAGUAUGUGAAAAGUUAAGGGUAGGUUGAAAUGAAUGUAUGUAGUUGAAAAAUUCGAUUUAUGUUGGGUAGAUUUGAACUUUCCAGGAGGAAAUAAUGCCGAGGAAGAAGAAGGGAUUAGAGUUGGUGAGUUUUUGUUGGUGGAAACUAAAAACAUAUGUGUUUGUUUAGUGAUGGUUGUCUGGUGUAGUUCAUUUAUUUUGUUAAAUUGUUGUGUUUGUUUAGGCGAGGUCGAAACCCAUAAUGAGUAGGGUGAAAGAGGCGCCUAAAAAGAAAGUUGUCAAUACUGGCAAGAAGAAACUUAAAUUUGAUCUUGUUUUUGGGGAAGAAAAAUUACAUGAUUCUGCGGAUGCUGCUUCCGAUGAUGCUUUUCGGAUGAUUCUGGUCCUGAUGAUGGUGAAUCUGAAGAUGAUGAUUAUGAAGUAGAUGAGGAUGUGGAAGAAGAUGAAGCUAGUGAGGAAGCACCUGAACCAACAACAGAGUGGUAUCAAGAUCACCUCAUCAAGUUACUGCAGGAAAAAAAGUAGGAAAUGGAAAGUGCAAGUGAGGUGCUGUUGAGAAACACACAGGGAAGAGGGCCAAGCUAAAGGUCGGCAAGACCAAGGGAGAAGAGGUGAAGCAGAAAGGGGUUGUCGUUAAAACCCAAUCAAGAAAUACACAGAAAGUACUCUGUCAACCUUUAUUAUGGGGGGAUUUGGCAGGGCAAUGUUUGCACCUAAUUUGCAUGGUGUGAAGGCUUUCGCUAGUGUGGUGCAUAAGUUUGAUGAUUCUAGGAAGAAGGUGGUGACAGAAAUGGGGUUUGGAGGGUUGUUAAGUGUACCUCUAACGUUUCUACCCCGGGAAUUUUCAUACUGACUGUUGACGAGGGUAAUGGGAGAUGGUUCGAUAACUUUCGGAGAUGAGUAUGUGUUGCCUUUGAGUCCUGUUCAGGUCGAGUGUGUACUUGGGAUUCCCAUGGGGUCGAAGGCAGAGCCUUCUACGAAUCCUGAAUCUAAGGUGGAGCAAAGGAGAAUACUGGAAUUGUAUGGGAAGGGGGAUGGGAAGGGUGACAACAUUUCAUUAGCAAAUGCUUUGGGUGCACUGAUUCGAACGAACGAAGAAGGCAAUGUGUUGCCGCUGUUGGAGGAGGAGAAGGCAAAUUUCAAGGUAGCCUUCCUCAUAGUAGCUUUGGGUUACAUACUGUGUGCUACGACAAGUACAAGCUAUCUUAGAGUGAAGCUUAUACUGGCGUUAUUGGUGUAUGACGAAACGAAGGAGUACGACUGGUGCACAUUUGUUUUUAACUAGAUGGUUGUUGCAGCAAGGAAUUUUUUUAAAAAAAAUUUGCUCGUGACGGAUAUGUUGCUGGAUCUUGUGGUUGCAUCCUUUUUGUGUUGGUAAAUUUAAUUGGGCAUGUAUUAAAAAUGUAUGUUGAGUAAUUUGAAUAUAUUUUGCAUAUCGUUCAUCUGGUAAUUUGUAUCAAUGCUGCUGUACAUAAUGUGAUGAUUUUUUAUCUCGAUCACCUUGGUCGCGUCCCAAUGAGUUGGGGGUUGAGACCUAGGUUGAUGGCUUGGUCCCAAGAUAAAAUCAACGAAGCUGUUGUAGAUGAUAAGAAAGAUUCCGGUGACUUUGGAAAG